rnacentral:snRNA from 1 species
GAGCAUAUCUGGCANGGUCUUCCCAGGGUGAGGCUCAGCCAUUGCACUCCAGCUGUGCUGACCCCUGCGAUUUCCCCAAAUGCUGGAAACUCGACUGCAUAAUUCGUGGUAGUGGGCUUUCCCCU